GCAAACAGAUAGCUCAGUCAGUACAGCAUGAGACUCUUAAUCUCAGGUUCCUGGGUUCGAGCCCCAUGGUAGGCA